GCCAGGAUGGCAUAGUGGUUAGUGCAUCUGCCUAAUGAACAGAAGACCCAGGUUCGAAUCCUGGCCUUGAUA